AUUGAACGCUGGCGGCAGGCUUAACACAUGCAAGUCGAGCGAGCGGCGGACGGGUGAGUAAUGUCUGGGAAACUCCCUGAUGGAGGGGGAUAACUACUGGAAACGGUAGCUAAUACCGCAUACCAUCAGAUUGGCCCAGAUGUGAUUAGCUAGUGGGUGGGGUAAUGGCUCACCUAGGCGACGAUCCCUAGCUGGUCUGAGAGGUGGACCACCAACAUGGGACCGGAGACACGGUCCAGACCCCUCCGGGAGGCAGCAGUGGGGAAUUUUGGACAAUGGGGGAAAGCUUGAUGCAGCCCUGCCCCUUGUGUGAAGAAGGUCUCCGGGUUGUAAAGCACUUUCAGCGAGGAGGCGUUACUCGAAGAAGAAGCACCGGCUAACUCCGUGCCAGCCGCCGCGGUAAUUC
rnacentral:rRNA from 1 species